UACGGAGGAUGCGAGCGUUAUCCGGAUUUAUUGGGUUUAAAGGGUGCGUAGGUUGUUUUUUAAGUCAGCGGUGAAAGUUUGUGGCUCAACCAUAAAAUUGCCGUUGAAACUGGCAGACUUGAGUUGGCGAGAAGUACGCGGAAUGCGCGGUGUAGCGGUGAAAUGCAUAGAUAUCGCGCAGAACUCCGAUUGCGAAGGCAGCGUACCGGCGCCAGACUGACGCUGAGGCACGAAAGCGUGGGGAUCGAACAGG
rnacentral:rRNA from 1 species